rnacentral:rRNA from 1 species
UACGUAGGGGCCUAGCGUUGUCCGGAAUUAUUGGGCGUAAAGAGCUCGUAGGCGGUUCGGCAAGUCGGAUGUGAAAUCUCCACGCUUAACGUGGAGGGGCCAUUCGAAACUGCCGUGACUCGAGUCCGGUAGGGGAGUGUGGAAUUCCCGGUGUAGCGGUGAAAUGCGCAGAUAUCGGGGGAACACCAGUAGCGAAGGCGGCACUCUGGGCCGGUACUGACGCUGAGGAGCGAAAGCGUGGGGAGCGAACAGG